UACGGAGGAUGCGAGCGUUACCCGGAUUUAUUGGGUUUAAAGGGUGCGUAGGCGGGCUUUUAAGUCAGCGGUAAAAAUUCGGGGCUCAACCCCGUCCGGCCGUUGAAACUGGGGGUCUUGAGUGGGCGAGAAGAAGGCGGAAUGCGUGGUGUAGCGGUGAAAUGCAUAGAUAUCACGCAGAACCCCGAUUGCGAAGGCAGCCUUCCGGCGCCCUACUGACGCUGAGGCACGAAAGUGCGGGGAUCGAACAGG
rnacentral:rRNA from 1 species